ACCACACUGAUACGCCGCGGGCCGCCCUGCGGCGAAGGCGAUUGGAUGAAACGGGACACCAUGGCGCCCCGGUGCUCCUCGGUGCGCACCGGUGUGGUUUGUCGAGGAUACCAUUAAUAAUUUGUUUGGAUUUUUCUCCUUUCGUAAGCCAAACUCGAUGAAUGCAGCUAGCGCCUGUCAUUUGUUCACAGAAACAUAGAACAGAUUGGCAAUAUUCAGGAACAUACGAUCCAGACCAUCUACGCAACCUCAUAUCAAGAUAAACUUUAUUGCGGCGUACAUGUGCUGCAGUACGAUGUGAUGCAGGUAAUCAGCACCAGUCUUGCUGCCAAAUCACACACUAUGGCACGUUGCGGGAGCUCAAUAGGGGGCUAGGCAGGCAGAAACACGAGCAAUAUUGUUCUCCAUCCGACGUUACUCUGUUCCUGCAAGAUUCGGAACUACUGCUGAAGUACGACUCGACGCCAGAGAAAGUUAUCGGGGGUUGACGGAACGCGAUGUGGACAUAUCAGCCACAUUGGUAACCUGAGUGAAAAGUAGCGGCCGCCCUGUCCUAAAUUAAGCUUGGACCUGUCCAUUUCAAUGCACGAGAGACAUACUACCGAUGAAGUAAUGGGCCAAUGCACCAACCUAUUACAUUUAUAAAUAAAGUCACCUUUGAA